rnacentral:rRNA from 1 species
CCCGCCGGCGACCGGCGCACGGGUGAGUAACGCGUAUGCAACUUACCUAUCAGAGGGGGAUAACCCGGCGAAAGUCGGACUAAUACCGCAUGAAGCAGGGGCCCCGCAUGGGGAUAUUUGCUAAAGAUUCAUCGCUGAUAGAUAGGCAUGCGUUCCAUUAGGCAGUUGGCGGGGUAACGGCCCACCAAACCGACGAUGGAUAGGGGUUCUGAGAGGAAGGUCCCCCACAUUGGUACUGAGACACGGACCAAACUCCUACGGGAGGCAGCAG